rnacentral:lncRNA from 10 species
CUUUCGCUGUGCCCAAUUAGCUGCUGCCGCGCCUUGGAGUCCGGAGUAACUUGGCCAGGCUGGCCCCGAGCGGAACUGGAGAAAGCUGAGGCUCUAACCAUGGAAUACUGGGAAUGUCCCUUUCUGUGAAGGAGGUUUGUCAGCCACAACAGGAAUAUUCAUGAACAUGAAGGGGUUGGGCAUGUUCCAGGAUCUGUCUAUCGACUUCUCUCAGGAGGAAUGGGAGGGCCUGGACACUGCUCAGAAGGACUUAUAGAGAGAUGUAAUGAUGGAGAACUAUAGCAGCCUGGUCUCACUAGGUCUCUCUAUCCCAAAGCCUGAUGUGAUUUCCUUACUGGAGCAAGGGAAAGAGUCCUGCAUGGUUUCAAGGGACGUACCAGGAGGAUGGUGCCCAGUUUUCCUUUAAUGCAGCCAUUUCAUGCAUCAAUGGAUAUUCAUUCAGCACUCUUUUUUUUUUUUUGGAUACAGAGUCUCACUCUGUAGCCCGGGCUGGAGUGCAGUGGUGUGAUCUUGUCUCACUGGAAGCCAAUAAGAAACGCUUGGGGAUGACCUCCCUACAAGCACAGGAAAACCAUUCCUGCGCAUUUCUGCGCUGGAACGCCUACCUUUAGUGCCGUUUCCUGCGCUUUCUUGCAGAUUUGUAUCAGGCACUGGAGAACCUCCCACCUGGUCCAUGCCCGGCUCCCGGUGAGCACCGAGACCCAACCUUGUGCACAGCCAGUCUUGUCAUCAACAAACAGGGUAGUAAAUUAUAAAAAAUAAAAUAAAGGAAAUGUAGCUGGGCGUGGUGGCAUGCGCCUGUAAUCCCAGCUACUCCGGAGGCUGAUGCAGGAGAAUCGCUUGAACCCAGGAGGUGAAGGUUGCAGUGAGGCGAGAUCGCGCCACUGCGCUCCAGCGUGGAUGGCAAGAGCGAAACUCCUUCUCGAAAUAAUAAAUAAAAUAAAGGAAAUAGGGCCGGGCAUGGUGGCUCACGCCUGUAAUUCCAGCACUUUUGGUGGCCGAGGCGGGCAGAUCACUUGAGGUCAGAAGUUCGAGACCAGUCUGGCCAACAUGGUGAAACCCCUUCUCUACUAAAAAUAAACAAUUAGCCAGGCAUGGUGGCGGGAGCCUGUAAUCCCAGCUAUUUGUGAGGCGGAGACACAAGAAUCGCUUGAAUCCCGGAGACAGAGGUUGCAGUGAGCCGAGCUCGUGCCACUGCGCUCCAGCCUGGGCGACAGAGCAAGACUCCAUCUUAAAAUAAAAUAGGCCGGCCGAGGGUGCUCAUGCCUGUAAUCACAGCAUUUUGGAGGCUGAGGCGGGUGGAUUGCCUGAGCUCAGGAGUUCAAGACCAUCCUGGCCUACAUGGUGAAACCCCAUCUCUACUAAAAAUGCAAAAAUUAGCCGGGCAUGGUGGCGCAUGCCUGUAAUCCUAGCUACUUUGGAGGCUGAGGCAGGAGAACAGUUUCAACCCAGGAGGCGGAAGUUGCAGUGAGCCGAGACCGCCACAUUGCACUCCAGCUUGGGCAAGAGGAUUGAAACUCCAUCACAAAAAUAAAUAAAUAAAUAAAUAAAUAA